rnacentral:rRNA from 1 species
GUGUCAGCCGCCGCGGUAAGACGAACCGUGCGAACGUUAUUCGGAAUCACUGGGCUUAAAGCGCGUGUAGGCGGGCGGGCACGUCCGACGCUGAAAUCCCCCGGCUCAACCGGGGAAUGGGCGGGGAUACGACCAGCCUGGAGGGACGGAGGGGGACCUGGAACUUCCGGUGGAGCGGUGAAAUGCGUUGAGAUCGGAAGGAACGCCCGUGGCGAAAGCGAGGUCCUGGACGUCUACUGACGCUGAGACGCGAAAGCCAGGGGAGCGAACGGGAUUAGAUACCCGCGUAGUCC